GGAGAGAUGGUUGAGUGGAAUAAAGUGGUGGAUUGCCAAUCCGUUGUACGAGUUAAUCGUAUCGAGUGUUCGAAUCCCUCUCUUUCCG
rfam:Solanum lycopersicum cultivar Heinz 1706 chromosome 2, whole genome shotgun sequence.